rnacentral:rRNA from 1 species
CCUACGGGUGGCAGCAGUGAGGAAUAUUGGUCAAUGGUCGGGAGACUGAACCAGCCAAGCCGCGUGAGGGAGGAAGGUACAGAGUAUCGUAAACCUCUUUUGUCAGGGAACAAAGGCGGGGACGUGUCCCCGGAUGAGUGUACCUGAAGAAAAAGCAUCGGCUAACUCCGUGCCAGCAGCCGCGGUAAUACGGAGGAUGCGUGCGUUAUCGGGAUUUAUUGGGUUUAAGGGGGGGGCAGGCGGUCUGUUAAGUCCGCGGUCAAAGCCCGGGGCUCAACCCCGGCCCGCCGUUGAAACUGGCAGUCUCGAGUAGGGGAGAGGCAUGCGGAAUGCGCGGUGUAGCAGUGAAAUGCAUAGAUAUCGCGAAGAACUCCGAUUGCGAAGGCAGCAUGCCGGCUCCACACUGACGCUGAGGCACGAAAGCGUGGGUAUCGAACAGGAUUAGAUACCCUGGUAGUC